AACGAACGCUGGCGGCAGGCCUAACACAUGCAAGUCGAACGCUCUAGCAAUAGAGAGUGGCAGACGGGUGAGUAACACGUGGGAAUCUUCCUAUCGGUACGGAAUAGCUCAGGGAAACUUGGGGUAAUACCGCAUACGCCCUUCGGGGGAAAGAUUUAUCGCCGAUAGAUGAGCCCGCGUCUGAUUAGCUAGUUGGUGAGGUAAUGGCUCACCAAGGCGACGAUCAGUAGCUGGUCUGAGAGGAUGACCAGCCACACUGGGACUGAGACACGGCCCAGACUCCUACGGGAGGCAGCAGUGGGGAAUAUUGGACAAUGGGCGCAAGCCUGAUCCAGCCAUGCCGCGUGAGUGACGAAGGUCUUCGGAUUGUAAAGCUCUUUUGGCGGGGACGAUAAUGACGGUACCCGCAGAAUAAGCCCCGGCUAACUUCGUGCCAGCAGCCGCCGUAA
rnacentral:rRNA from 1 species